GGUGGCUGUUUACCUAAAAAAAACAUGUCUCCGCAAAGUCGCAAGAUCAUGUAUGGGAUGUCCAGUACCGGAAGUUAAAGAACUGAUGACAGGAAAGUCGGCAACUGAAGCCCCGGUGAACGGUGGUCCUAAGGUAGCGAAAUUCCUUGUCGGGUAAGUUCUGACCCACACAAAAGGUGUAACGAUU
rnacentral:ncRNA from 1 species